CAGCCGCCGCGGAAUACGAGGGGAGCUAGCGUUAUUCGGAAUUACUGGGCGUAAAGCGCACGUAGGCGGCUUUGUAAGUUAGAGGUGAAAGCCCAGAGCUCAACUCUGGAAUUGCCUUUAAGACUGCAUCGCUUGAAUCCAGGAGAGGUGAGUGGAAUUCCGAGUGUAGAGGUGAAAUUCGUAGAUAUUCGGAAGAACACCAGUGACGAAGGCGGCUCACUGGACUGGUAUUGACGCUGAGGUGCGAAAGCGUGGGGAGCAAACAGGAUUAGAGACCCCUGUAGUCCCUGUCUCUUAUACA
rnacentral:rRNA from 1 species